GGGUCGAUGGCGUAGUUGGUUAUCGCAUCUGUCUCACAUGUCCCAAGAUCGGUGAUAUUGGCGCACAGGAGGUCCUCAGUUCGAGCCUGGGUCGACUCA